rnacentral:rRNA from 1 species
GACGAACGCUGGCGGCGUGCUUAACACAUGCAAGUCGAACGGAAAGGCCUGCUUUCCCUUGUGGAUUGCGGGUACUCGAGUGGCGAACGGGUGAGUAACACGUGAGUGAUCUGCCCCCAACUUGGGUAUAAGCCUGGGAAACUGGGUCUAAUUCCCGAUAGGACUGCAGGGUGGUGCCUGUGGUGGAAAACGAUUUUCUAGUGGUUGGGGAUGAGCUCGCGGCCUAUCAGCUUGUUGGUGGGGUAAUGGCCUACCAAGGCGGCGACGGGUAGCCGGCCUGAGAGGGUGGACAGCCACAUUGGGACUGGGAUACGGCCCAGACUGGUACGGGAGGCAGCAGUGGGGAAUAUUGCACAAUGGGCGGAAGCCUGAUGCAGCGACGCCGCGUGGGGGAUGACGGGCUUCGGGUUGUAAACUCCUUUCGACCGAGAGGAAGCCACCUGGUUGGAAGGGUGGUGACGGUAGUGGUAGAAGAAGCACCGGCUAACUACGUG